AAAACGGCUCUUUUAAGAGCCACCAGAGCAAGACCGUCAAGAAGAAU
rnacentral:ncRNA from 1 species